rnacentral:tRNA from 1 species
AGGAAUGUGGCUUAGUGGUAAAGUGCCUGCCUAGCAUGCAGGAAGCCCUGGGUUCCAUUCCUU